rnacentral:rRNA from 1 species
GGUCUGGCGGCGAGUGGCGAACGGGUGAGUAAUGUAUCGGAACGUGCCUAGUAGCGGGGGAUAACUACUCGAAAGAGUAGCUAAUACCGCAUACGCCCUACGGGGGAAAGGGGGGGAUCGCAAGACCUCUCACUAUUAGAGCGGCCGAUAUCGGAUUAGCUAGUUGGUGAGGUAAAGGCUCACCAAGGCGACGAUCCGUAGCUGGUUUGAGAGGACGACCAGCCACACUGGGACUGAGACACGGCCCAGACUCCUACGGGAGGCAGCAGUGGGGAAUUUUGGACAAUGGGGGAAACCCUGAUCCAGCCAUUCCGCGUGUGCGAUGAAGGCCUUCGGGUUGUAAAGCACUUUUGGCAGGAAAGAAAUCGCACCAAUUAAUACUUGGUGUGGAUGACGGUACCUGCAGAAUAAGCACCGGCUAACUACGUGCCAGCAGCCGCGGUAAUACGUAGGGUGCAAGCGUUAAUCGGAAUUACUGGGCGUAAAGCGUGCGCAGGCGGUUCGGAAAGAGAGGUGUGAAAUCCCAGGGCUCAACCUUGGAACUGCACUUUUAACUACCGAGCUAGAGUAUGUCAGAGGGGGGCGGAAUUCCGCGUGUAGCAGUGAAAUGCGUAGAUAUGCGGAGGAACGCCGAUGGCGAAGGCAGCCCCCUGGGAUAAUACUGACGCUCAUGCACGAAAGCGUGGGGAGCAAACAGGAU